rnacentral:rRNA from 1 species
CCUACGGGUGGCUGCAGUGAGGAAUCUUGGUCAAUGGGCGCGAGCCUGAACCAGCCAAGUAGCGUGAAGGAUGACUGCCCUACGGGUUGUAAACUUCUUUUAUAAAGGAAUAAAGUGAUGAACGUGAGCGUUUUUGUAUGUACUUUAUGAAUAAGGAACGGCUAACUCCGUGCCAGCAGCCGCGGUAAUACGGAGGAUCCGAGCGUUAUCCGGAUUUAUUUGGGUUAGAGGGAGCGUAGAUGGGUUGUUAAGUCAGUUGUGAAAGUUUGCGGCUCAACCGUAAAAUUGCAAUUGAUACUGGCAGACUUGAGUACAGUUGAGGUAGGCGGAAUUCGUGGUGUAGCGGUGAAAUGCUUAGAUAUCACGAAGAACUCCGAUUGCGAAGGCAGCCUACUAAACUGCCACUGACAUUGAUGCUCGAAAGUGUGGGUAUCAAACAGGAUUAGAUACCCCAGUAGUC